CAGUCGCCGCGGGAAUACGAAGGGUGCAAGCGUUACUCGGAAUUACUGGGCGUAAAGCGUGCGUAGGUGGUGGUUUAAGUCGGAUGUGAAAUCCCUGAGCUUAACUUAGGAAUUGCAUUCGAUACUGGGAAGCUAGAGUAUGGGAGAGGAUGGUAGAAUUCCAGGUGUAGCGGUGAAAUGCGUAGAGAUCUGGAGGAAUACCGAUGGCGAAGGCAGCCAUCUGGCCUAAUACUGACGCUGAGGUACGAAAGCAUGGGGAGCAAACAGGAUUAGAUACCCCUGUAGUCCCUGUCUCUUAUAA
rnacentral:rRNA from 1 species